AUCAUUUAUUGGUAGUACAAACCAUUAGUUAUGUUCUCUUAGUUAUCACUACAUAGUAUUAAACAAAAUCGCUUUCUCUGGCCCCAUGUAUGUCUCUAUGUAUGCUUAAAUCUUUAAAACUACGCAACGAAUUUUGAUGCGGGUUUUUAAUAGAUAGAGUGAUUGAAGAGAAAAGUUUAUAUGUACAAGCUUUUUGCACGGUCCAAAAGUAUGUAAGUAUGUCGAACGAGUGUUUUUGCUCGUUGGCCGGUAUGACCGCCAGUAUGCCGGUGCAAUCCUUUUGAAUGGUCUCUACGUCUGCAUAACGCUUUCCCUUCAUGGAGAAAUGCAUUUUUUCGAAAAGGAAGAAGUCGCACGGUGCCAUAUCAGGCACGAUUCCGAUUACUUUGGCGGAGGGGUAAAAAAAACGAAUUUCCGUAUAAAUGGUGUAUCUACGGAUAGGGGAGCUCCUCCAGAGGAGGAAUAUCCAAAAAUAAUUUAAAAAUUUCUAAUAUUUUUUAGAAUAUUCACGAUUAAAAGUUCAAAAAUUUGCACUAAGAAAACAUAAUAUUUCUCUAUGUUUCACUAAAUUUUUUUCACAUUUUUUACUUUGUAUAUUUAAAUACACACUCUAAGCUUUGAAAUAAGCUCACAUUUCACAUUUAUUUUUCAAUUUUUAAGCUAAAUUUUGUUAUUUAAAAAUCACUUAGCACACUCAUCGUUGAAAAGGUCAGGUUGUUUACAAUUAUGAGGAAAACGAGCCUUGCCACAUCUUAAACAGUAAAUAUGUAGGAUUUUUAACAAUUUUUCUUUGUUUGUUUUAUCGCGUGAUUCUUUUUUCUAUAUUAACCAUAAAAAAUACUUUCUACCUGUGUAUAUGUGUAAUACGUAAUUUAUGUGACUGAAGUACUUUCGCGUAGUAUUCCUUUCUGCGUUGGCGGCCUUUGGCCGCGCUAUAAAAAAAUAACCCUGGCCGAGCGAAUACCCGGGGUGACUGAAAUACUUUCGCGUAGUACUCCUUUCUGUGUUGGCGGCCUUCGGCCGCGCUCUAAAAAAAUAACCCUGGCCGAGCAAAUACCCGGGGUGACUGAAGUACUAUCGCGUAGUACUCCUUUCUGCGUUGGCGGCCUUCGGCCGUGCUCUAAAAAAAUAACCCUGGCCGAGCGAAUACCCGGGGUGACUGAAGUACUUUCGCGUAGUACUCCUUUCUGCGUUGGCGGCCUUCGGCCGCGCUCUAAAAAAAAAAACUUUGGCCGAGCGAAUACCCGGGGUGACUGAAGUACUUUCGCGUAUACUCCUUUCUGCGUUGGCGGCCUUCGGCCGCGCUCUAAAAAAAUAACUCUGGCCGAGCGAAUACCCGGGGUGACUGAAGUACUUUCGCGUAGUACUCCUUUCUGCGUUGGCGGCCUUCGGCCGCGCUCUAAAAAAAUAACCCUGGCCGAGCGAAUACCCGGGGUGACUGAAGUACUAUCGCGUAGUACUCCUUUCUGCGUU